rnacentral:rRNA from 1 species
UACGAAGGGGGCUAGCGUUGCUCGGAAUCACUGGGCGUAAAGGGUGCGUAGGCGGGUCUUUAAGUCAGGGGUGAAAUCCUGGAGCUCAACUCCAGAACUGCCUUUGAUACUGAGGAUCUUGAGUUCGGGAGAGGUGAGUGGAACUGCGAGUGUAGAGGUGAAAUUCGUAGAUAUUCGCAAGAACACCAGUGGCGAAGGCGCUCACUGGCCCGGUACUGACGCUGAGGCACGAAAGCGUGGGGAGCAAACAGG